UACGAAGGGGGCUAGCGUUGUUCGGAAUCACUGGGCGUAAAGCGCACGUAGGCGGAUUGUUAAGUCGGGGGUGAAAUCCCAGGGCUCAACCCUGGAACUGCCUUUCAUACUGGCAAUCUAGAGUUCGAGAGAGGUGAGUGGAAUUCCGAGUGUAGAGGUGAAAUUCGUAGAUAUUCGGAGGAACACCAGUGGCGAAGGCGGCUCACUGGCUCGAUACUGACGCUGAGGUGCGAAAGCGUGGGGAGCAAACAGG
rnacentral:rRNA from 1 species